ACGUGUUGUUUUCCUAUUACUGACAGUUGUCAACGUUGUGGCGGUAGCACUAGCAGCGACCACGUCCUUCUUCUCAUCAAUGGUACCCGUUGGCGUCAUUGUACCAUUGCUGACUAGUUUGCUCUCGUUGGUGACUAAAGUAGCAGUAGAAUCAGAAAUAGAGGUAGAAGUAGAAGUAGAACUCGUUGUAGUAGUAGUAGUAUUGUUAACUCCAGUGCAAUGCGUGUUCUCCUGAACUGGAAACCUCUCCAUGAUGAUGCUGUUACUAUGCUGCUGAAAUGGCAUGCAUGCGACACCUCCAUCGCCCAUGGAAAUCCCACCUGAAGAACAAUUCGCUCCAAACCCUAAUUCCCCCUUCUCCCGGGGCUGUCGAUGCUCAUGCUGCACAAAUUCCCUUCCCAAAUCCCGUUCCGUCCCUUCCUUCCUUCUCCACCAGAAAUUCAACGCUCCUUCCCCUCUCGACAAAUCUGCAAACACACACGAAGAAGAAGAAGAAUAAGCCAAACAAAUCAAUACAAAACACAAUGUUAAACUGUCUCGGAAGAGCGGAAACUGGAUAACAACAACCCAAUUAAAAACCAAGCUGUAAUCAGUCCAGCUCUCUACCGCAAACCUCUAGGGUUUCCGAAUGAGAGAAAAAGAAAGUACACAACAGAGAGGGAUGGAGAAAUUAAAUUACCAGGAGGAAUCCUCGAGAGCUUGGAAAAGCACGGCAGAUCGGAAACCCUCGUUGAGAGUUCUUAUUGAAUUCGCAGAGAGAAAGAGAGAGACUUGUGUUUGAAACACAGAUCGAACUCUGAGAAAACUGAAAGCCCAAAUUUUUUUCCCUCUUCUUCCCUUUGUUAAAUAGUUUGUUUGUUGAGCUUAUUAAUACCUCUUGUUCUUCUUCUUCAUCUUCGUUGUGGCUCUCUGAAACGAAAACCUUCGCUUUGUAAUUUUCUUUUUUACUUUUCUUUUUUGAGUUUA
rnacentral:lncRNA from 1 species